rnacentral:tRNA from 2 species
GGGGAUAUGGUGAAGAGGUAUCACGUAACACUGUCUAUGUUAAAUCAGGGGUUCAAUUCCCCUUAUCCUCGCCA